rnacentral:lncRNA from 1 species
CCCCAGCCCCGGCAGCGAGUGGCUGCCUGUGCCAGCUGCAGGCAGUUUUUACCCCCAGGGAGCUGGGUACCCCUGAGGGGCAGCUGGCCUCCCAGGGAGCCCCUGGUCCAGAGUGGGCAGCUGCUCCUCGCUCUGCCACACACGCUGUCCUUGGACCAGUGGCAGGGAGGUCCUUGCGGGAGCCCGGGUGCCUGGCGCGGAGCCGGGGGGAGGGGGGAGCGGGGGAUCAGGGCCACUCCGAGCAGGUGCCCACCCAAGGCUGGGUCAGUCUCGCUCCCAAAGUGGAGUCCUCGGGGAGCCCCGCAGUCGCCCGAGGAGCUGGAGCCCGCCAGGGCUGGCUCGGGACAGGCGGGCACAGAGCUGAGGGCUGCGUUGGGCACCCGAGGGGCCGCCGCCUGCCCGUCCCCGCUUACCUGGGCCGCCGCCGCCGCCGGCUGUGUCCGGGUCCCGGUACAUGGUCCGACCGUGGGCGCUGUCGCCUCUCCGCCCCGGGGCUCAGUACCACCCCCGGCCCGGGCUCGCUGCCUCGCCCGCCAAGCCCUGCCGGCUCAUGGGGCGCCGCCGCCGCCGCUGCCUCUGUCCUCACUGUGCCCGCUGCUGCUUCUGCUGUGCCCGCUGUCCCCGCCGCCGCCGCCGCUGCUGCUGCUGCGGGGCAUGGGCUGGGGGCGAGCCCGGGCCCGGCGGGGCGGGGGCCGCCCGCUGAGUGCUGAGCACUGGGCUGACCACGGAGCGGGCGGGACCGGCCGUGGGCGGGGGCCCCAGGAGCUGAGCGCUGAGCGAGCGCCGAGCGAGCGCGGAGCACGCUGCCGCCGCCGCCGCCGCCGCCGCUGCCUCCCAGGGCCGGUGCGUGCGUGGGGCUGGGGGAGUGAGCGCGCGGGCGUGUGUAUGUGUGUGUGUAUAUGUGUGUGUAUGUGUAUGUGUGUGCGCGCGCUCGCGGGGGGUGCGGACGGCAAGCUGGCAGGGAGGGGGAGCUGGCAGUGCGCGCGCGCGCCUCGGUCCCACCACCACGGCCACCACCGCUACCACUGGCCCCGCUGCCCCCGCCGCCGCUCCCAGCCCGCGCUCCCCGCUGCCCACUGCCGGCCGCCUGGAGCACUGCAGCCCGCGCCUGCCGCCCGGGUUUUAGUU